GGAGCUGUGGCUCAGUGGUAGAGCGUUCAUCUUGCAUGUGUGGGGGGCCCUGGGUUAGAUCCUCAGCACCA
rnacentral:tRNA from 1 species